UUUGGUAGCCAUAGAGGAGAGGGUACACCCGACCCCAUUCCGAACUCGGAAGUUAAGCUCUCCAUCGCCGAUGAUACUGCAUAACGUCAUGUGGGAAAGUAGGCCGCUGCC
rnacentral:rRNA from 2 species